rnacentral:rRNA from 1 species
GAUGAACGCUGGCGGCGUGCCUAAUACAUGCAAGUCGAGCGAACGGACGAGAAGCUUGCUUCUCUGAUGUUAGCGGCGGACGGGUGAGUAACACGUGGAUAACCUACCUAUAAGACUGGGAUAACUUCGGGAAACCGUAGCUAAUACCGGAUAAUAUUUUGAACCGCAUGGUUCAAAAGUGAUAGACGGUCUUGCUGUCACUUAUAGAUGGAUCCGCGCUGCAUUAGCUAGUUGGUAAGGUAACGGCUUACCAAGGCAACGAUGCAUAGCCGACCUGAGAGGGUGAUCGGCCACACUGGAACGGAGACACGGUCCAGACUCCUACGGGAGGCAGCAGUAGGGAAUCUUCCGCAAAGGGCGAAAGCCUGACGGAGCAACGCCGCGUGAGUGAUGAAGGUCUUCGGAUCGUAAAACUCUGUUAUUAGGGAAGAACAUAUGUGUAAGUAACUGUGCACAUCUUGACGGUACCUAAUCAGAAAGCCACGGCUAACUACGUG